AAUAAUGAAUUUUAAUAAUGGAGAGGUGAGUUGGUGGUGGCCUUUUUUACCUUAAUUUGGCCGGAGGGGGCAUGUGCACACCUUCUCUUUCAUCCAUCACACCCCCUGUGCACUUGUGAGACAGCAAUAGUUGGUGGAUUUAAUUCCAUCAUCCAUUUGCUGUCUACUUAAUUUACACACACUCUACUUAAUUUAAACUGAAUGUAAUUGAUGUAACGCAUCUAAUACUAAGUUUCAACAACGGAUCUCUUGGCUCUCGCAUCGAUGAAGAACGCAGCGAAAUGCGAUAAGUAAUGUGAAUUGCAGAAUUCAGUGAAUCAUCGAAUCUUUGAACGCACCUUGCGCUCCUUGGUAUUCCUUGGAGCAUGCCUGUUUGAGUAUCAUGAAAUCUUCAAAGUAAACCUUUUGUUAAUUCAAUUGGUCUUUUUUACUUUGGUUUUGGAGGAUCUUAUUGCAGCUUCACACCUGCUCCUCUUUGUGCAUUAGCUGGAUCUCAGUGUUAUGCUUGGUUCCACUCGGCGUGAUAAGUUAUCUAUCGCUGAGGACACCCGUAAAAAAGGUGGCCAAGGUAAAUGCAGAUGAACCGCUUCUAAUAGUCCAUUGACUUGGACAAUAUUCUAUUUUAUGAUCUGAUCUCAAUCAGGUAGGACUACCCGCUGAACUAAGCAAUCAAGCGGGAAAAAAUUCUUUUUGAUUUUAUUAUGAGGGAUUUGAAUUGGUGCUGGCCUUUCACCUUAAUUGG
rnacentral:rRNA from 1 species